rnacentral:rRNA from 1 species
ACGCUCGACACCUACGGGGGGCAGCAGUGGGGAAUAUUGCACAAUGGGGGAAACCCUGAUGCAGCGACGCCGCGUGAAGGAAGAAGUAUCUCGGUAUGUAAACUUCUAUCAGCAGGGAAGAAAGUGACGGUACCUGACUAAGAAGCCCCGGCUAACUACGUGCCAGCAGCCGCGGUAAUCUGAGCGGGCUGGCAAGGC